UGGUGGAGUGGUUUGUCUGGUUAAUUCCGUUAACGAACGAGACCUCGACCUGCUAAAUGGUUCGACGAAUUCUUCGGAAUUCGUAUGUGACUUCUUAGAGGGACUAUCGGUGGUUAGCCGAUGGAAGUUCGAGGCAAUAACA
rnacentral:rRNA from 1 species